rnacentral:rRNA from 1 species
UGCCUACGGGGGGCAGCAGUGGGGAAUAUUGGGCAAUGGGCGCAAGCCUGACCCAGCAACGCCGCGUGAAGGAAGAAGGCUUUCGGGUUGUAAACUUCUUUUGACAGGGAAGAGUAGAAGACGGUACCUGUCGAAUAAGCCACGGCUAACUACGUGCCAGCAGCCGCGGUAAUACGUAGGUGGCGAGCGUUAUCCGGAAUGAUUGGGCGUAAAGGGUGCGCAGGCGGUCCUGCAAGUCUGGAGUGAAACGCAUGAGCUCAACUCAUGCAUGGCUUUGGAAACUGGAGGACUGGAGAGCAGGAGAG